CAGGCGGCGGAUCCGCUCUGCCUCCUCAUCCUUCUUUCUCUGGCGGCUUCUGUAGGUAUCUUGAUCGGCUUGGAAUGAUUGCAGCCACGGAACUGCCCCAUAGCCUCUCGUACGCCCACCGUGCUCAGGAUUUUCAAGCGCAUAGGUGAGUUCAUCCUUCUCCCUGUUAGGCCUGAACUCACCAGACUGAACCGCCUCUCGUGCCCGGACUAGUCUCUCUGCUGCUCUAGAGAUUUCUUGGCCCCAAACUAGCGCCCC
rnacentral:lncRNA from 1 species